UUUUAUAUCUGUACUACUAUGCUUGGUCCCUUUUUGAUGAAUUGAUUGUAGCUUAAUUGGGUUUAUAUUCAUAAGAAAUAAAGAAUAUUCUCAAAAAUGAAAUUCUGGCAUACAGCACCAAGAAUUGUCUAUGCUUUGGUUUCCCAUUUUACUGUGUAUUAGGCUAAUUUUUAUCACAUUAAUAUUGUUAUUUUAUUUCAUAGCAGAGAAUCACUUCUCUGCUUCAACUAAAAAAAAAAAAGAAAGAAAGAGAAAAAAAAGAGUUCCUGAUUUCCUUGGUUCCUGUCAUUUACAAGUGACAGCUGAAUUCCAGUGUUUUUGCUAUACUAGCAACCUGACUUUUAUCUUGCUUUCUCCCUGUUUGGAUUCUGUGGACACACACACAUGUGGUGGCCAUAUGUUUUAUAUCACUUUUUUAUGGUAUCCAGCAUAGAACACCUAGGACAAUUGUUCUCACAGCCCUUUGGGGCUUGAAUGGCCCUAUGACAGGGGUCACUUAAGACCAUCUGCAUGUCAGAUAACUUACACAAUGAUCAUAACAGCAGCAACAUUACAGUUAUGAAAUAGCAACAAAAAUAAUGGUUGUGGGUCCACCAUGAGGAACUGUUAGGGGCUCAGAGCAGCAGGAUGCCUGGGAACACUGGCAGAACCGCUGUGUGUGCCUGUUUGGCAAGUUCACGUCUUUCCACCAAAUUAGCUGCCUUUUCCAGUUUUCUUGGACCUGUUAGGUACAGAGAUUAUGGAAAAGCAGCAAGCCUUUUUGAUGGUGACACAUAAUUCUGGGUUGUUAAAGAAGGCAGCAGUUCUUCCCAUCCUUCUCUUCUGGGAGGAUGGGAGGAGUGCAAGGGCUUCUGCUGGCCUCCAGGCUUUUAUUACUAUGACCCUUUCUUUUUAACCAAGGCCAGGUAAGCAACAGCAGCCGGGGAAGGUGUGAACAUGGAGACCAAGGAAAAGGAAGAAUGGCUGUCUUCAGUGACUAGGACAGGAGAGAAAAGCAGCCACCAGCAGUUUUGAAGGAGUCAGCUGAGACUGCAAUAGCUGUUGAAGUGAAGGUUUUGAGAAACUAUACUACUAAGCCAUCAGACUUCAAAAAUUCUGUAAUUAUGUUUUAUGUUAAGAGUGACACUUAUUUAAAGCUUACCAGUAAAUUCGGUUGUCAAAUAUUAUGCCAAAAACUGCUCCUACACUAACUGCAUACACUGCACAGUCUCGGAAGAGGGGCCAGCAGGAGAGUGUUGAAACCUGGAAAAUGAUGGUUUGAUUUACUGUGUGCAUUACAGUGUAAGGCAUUCAAGAACAGUGUAUAAUACUGAAAUCACGUAUAUUUGUGGUAAACUAUUGUUAAGUUUGCAUAUUACGUAGAGAAAAACAAUUUUAAAGUAAAAUUGUAUAUAAACCUGUACUGACUUUUAUAAAUUUCAUUAAGAGAUGCUUAUGGAUUAUGUCAAUUGAGUAAAUGUUUUUCUAGUGGUUAUUAAAUUUGACUGAAUG
rnacentral:lncRNA from 1 species